CGGGCCGUGGUGUAAUGGCAGCACGAGACGUUUGGGACGUUUUAGUCCCGGUUCAAGUCCGGGCGGCCCGACCC
rnacentral:tRNA from 2 species